GACGAACCGUGCAAACGUUAUUCGGAAUCACUGGGCUUAAAGCGUGCGUAGGCGGCUAAGAAAGUUGGGUGUGAAAUCCCUCGGCUCAACCGAGGAAUUGCGCUCAAAACUACUUAGCUUGAGGGAGUUAGAGGUGAGCGGAACUAAUGGUGGAGCGGUGAAAUGCGUUGAUAUCAUUAGGAACACCGGUGGCGAAAGCGGCUCACUGGGACUCUUCUGACGCUGAGGCACGAAAGCUAGGGGAGCGAACGGG
rnacentral:rRNA from 1 species